UUUGCCAAUGGAUACCAGAUGCCACGCCCUCGCCAUUGUGGACAAGAAGUGUAUGCGGUAAUGACUGGUUGUUGGGAGAAGGAAGCUACAAAUCGGAGUAACUUUGAUCAGAUCUUCAAGAGUUUGGAAAGGAUUCUAGAAAAGACUCAUAAUUACCUGUCUCUCAAUGACUUGGAUGAAGGAUUGUAUGCGUCUACACUGGAUAUGUGAAAUUAAGCCUUGUUCGGAUAUGCAGCGGUACUACAAUGCAUCUAAGUCGUGUACUCUGUACGAUGGUCGCGUCCGAGCCUACUAACCUACAGUAGCAUUAUAGGAACUAACUUGCGUUAAAUUCGGCCAAGAGUGCUGAAUCAGGAUAUCGGAAAUACAUGUAUUAAAUAUGCAUUCAGUAUAUGUCUUUUUUAUAUUUUUUUUCAAGAUCAUUUGG